rnacentral:rRNA from 1 species
UACGGGGGGGGCAAGCGUUGUUCGGAAUUACUGGGCGUAAAGGGCGCGUAGGCGGCCUGCUAAGUCGGGUGUGAAAACUCUGGGCUCAACCCAGAGCCUGCAUUCGAUACUGACGGGCUAGAGUACUGGAGGGGAAAGCGGAAUUCCUGGUGUAGCGGUGAAAUGCGUAGAUACCAGGAGGAACACCGGUGGCGAAGGCGGCUUUCUGGACAGUAACUGACGCUGAGGCGCGAAAGCUAGGGGAGCAAACAGG